rnacentral:miRNA from 1 species
CUCUCACCACUGCCCUCCCACAG